rnacentral:ncRNA from 1 species
UAUAAAUUUAAUUCUGGUUUAUGGUAGAUUUUUAUUUGGUGAUUUUAAUAUGUAAGUAUUUGCGUGUUGAGGGAAUUGUUUAAAUAACAAUUUUAGGAAUAUGUAAUUUAUUCGCAGUUUUUAUUUUUAUGUAUUUAAUAAUUUAAGACAUAGUUAAUUUUAAAAUGACUAGCAAAAAUUGUGCCAGCAGCUGCGGUUACACAAUUAGUCAAUAUUAUCUUUAUUAAAAUGGUUAUUAUUUAUUAUUAUUGAUUUUAAAAUUAAUGGAUAUAUUUUUAAGUGAAAUUUAAAUGUUAAUAUAAAUUUUUGGUAAUUUAGGAGAUUAUAAGAAAUUCUUUUAUGAAACUAGGAUUAGAUACCCUAUUAUUUUUGAAUAUAAAUCUUUCUUUUUAAUAUUAAUAGUUAUGGUCUUUAAAUUGAAAGAAUAUGACGGUAAUUUAAUCAUUUUAGAGGAACCUGUUCUGUAAUUGAUAAUCCACGAUAAAUUUUACCUUAAUUAUAAUUGGUUUGUAUAUCUCUGUCUGAUGAAUGUUUUAUUAGGAAAUUUUCAUAAAUUCUUGUAAGAAUUAAUGUCAGGUCAAGGUGCAGCUAUAUUAAGGAUUGAAAUGGGUUACAUUUAAUUUUAUAGAUUAUUGGAUUAAAUAUAUGAACUAUAUUUAUGAAAUUGGAUUUAAUUGUAAUGUUUAAAAUAUAUUAUUCAUGAUAUAUGUUCUUGAUUAAGUACACAUCGCCCGUCACUCCCAUUAUUAAAAUGGGAUAAGUCGUAACAAAGUAAUUUUAUCGGAAGAUGGAGUUGGAAUUAU